rnacentral:rRNA from 1 species
GAUAGAGGAUGCAAGCGUUAUCCGGAAUGAUUGGGCGUAAAGCGUCUGUAGGUGGCUUUUCAAGUCCGCCGUCAAAUCCCAGGGUUCAACCCUGGACAGGCGGUGGAAACUACCAAGCUGGAGUACAGUAGGGGCAGGGGGAAUUUCCGGUGGAGCGGUGAAAUGCAUUGAGAUCGGAAAGAACACCAACGGCGAAAGCACUCUGCUGGGCCAACACUGACACUGAGAGACGAAAUCUAGGGGAGCAAAUGGG